AGAGUCUUAAAACCGAGGGCCCGCAGGGGUCCCCGCGGCCGCCGCGAUGCAGAAAUACGAGAAACUGGAAAAGAUUGGGGAAGGCACCUACGGAACAGUGUUCAAGGCCAAAAACCGGGAGACUCAUGAGAUCGUGGCUCUGAAACGGGUGAGGCUGGAUGACGAUGAUGAGGGUGUGCCGAGUUCCGCCCUCCGGGAGAUCUGCCUACUCAAGGAGCUGAAGCACAAGAACAUCGUCAGGUGUGCGGGAGGCGGGUGCUCCUUGCCGGUGUGGCCGCUUGGGGGAGGCGGGGGCUGACACUGGACGUCUGUCAGGCGGACCUGCCUGGCUGAGCCCUUCUUUUGCCCUAGGCUUCAUGACGUCCUGCACAGCGACAAGAAGCUGACUUUGGUUUUUGAAUUCUGUGACCAGGUGAAAGGCGGGGUUUGGGGGACAGUAGCCUUGGGAAGGUAUAGGGGCCCAGACUGAGGUUAAACUCUGUCCCAUUUCCCCACUCAUAUCCCUUUUCAGGACCUGAAGAAGUAUUUUGACAGUUGCAAUGGUGACCUCGAUCCUGAGAUUGUAAAGGUGAGGAGAGUGGU
rnacentral:sRNA from 1 species